rnacentral:rRNA from 1 species
AGCGGGAAACCCGCCUCAAGAUAAGUUCUCCCUACGAGACCCGUGGAAGACCACCACGUUGAUAGGCUGGGUGUGCAAGCGCGGUAACGCGCGUAGCUUACCAGUACUAAUCGGUCCAUUGGCUUUAUUCC